GGGGAGCUGUGAUAAAGAGUCUGGAACAGCACUGCUAUGAAGAGCUGUGUACGGGAAAACCACCCAGAAGCACCCUGCACCAACGGGAGGAUCAGGGGGAAGAGAAGAAACAGGAUCUUCAUGGCUGCUGCCUCUCCCGGGUCUUCACAGAGCUGCAAAGGAGACAUCAAGGCAAUGGGGACAGGCAGGAACCCUGAGUGGGCAGGAUUCCAGAGAGAAAAGCCACACUCACCUGCCUGGAGAAGGUCUGGACAUUCAGGCAGCAGCAAAGCACCCUGGACCAACAGGAGGAUCAGUGGGAAGAGCAGGAACAGGAUCUUCAUGGCUGCUGCCUCUCCUGGGUCUGCACGGAGCUGCGGAGGGGACACCAAGGCAAUGGGGACAGGCAGGAGCCUGGGUGCAGAAACCUGGGCUUUGUGAUUCACCAGACUGCAAAGGGGCUGCUUCCCAAACACAAUAGAUGAUAUUUCCUCUCCAUUUCUCUUUAAAACAAUUCUUAGUUUUGUGCCACUCUUCCAAAUUUUGGAGUGUUCCUGUCUCUGUUUCAUGUUUUUGGGAGUGUUUCAUUUUCAUGCCUUUUGGAAAUUAAUUACCUCUGUUGAUAUUUUGAAUUCAUUUAGUUAAAGUUUUUCCAAAGUCCUUUCCCCAGAGAACGGGCACCAGACCUGGGGCCAAUGGUUUCCCAUCCAUUGAAAAUACAUGGCCAGUGAAAUGUGGGGGAUAACAGGAAAAAUUGCUACUGAAAGAUAUGGAACAAGCUGUCUUUCAGUCCUUCAUGUUUCAUGUAUCAAACACGUGCCCCAAACACCCUGCCCAACAAACUCUGCUUCACUGAAAUUAAGAAUAUUCUCCCAGCUCAGCUUGGCAGUGACCAUCCCCAAUUCCAAAGCAUUCUCAGGAUUCCUGGCAAGGACAUUCCCCAGCCCCACUCUUGCUGCCCCUGCCCUGGGCAGCACUGACCCAGGGAGCAGCCAGAGGGCAGGGAAAUGUCAGAAAUGGGAACAGAAAUUAUCCUUUGCAGCUACUGAAAACCUGAAAUGAUGGGAAAGCAAUGUUCUGCUGUACAGUACAGGAAAAGACUCUCCUUACUUUCCAAGGGGAAGCCCUCAUUUCCCCAGCAAAGAAGAUCCUGGGUCCCUCCUGCAGCAUCAAGGCACUUUUCCAGACUAUCUUGUACUUAGGAAACUUCAGUUUCACCUUCCACAUAUUCUUAGACUCACAUGAAGCCUUUUGUUAUCUUUCCCAAAAAAUCUAUGCUGGCCAAAGUUUACCCCUAGACACUUGCAAUAAUUUUUCGUUUCGGAGAUGCUGCUCUGUUGGGCUUUGAGCUGAGACCCUGAGUGGGGCAGGAUU